AAGAGCAAAAUCCUUCCUGUGGUGGAGCUGCUGUGGGAGGAGAGCUCUUGCCUUCUGGAAGAGGAAGCAACCUUUGCAGCUGUGAAACCUGAGAGAACAAUGGAGGUUGUGUAGACCAGAAGUUACAGGGGGCUGCUCUCAGGGCUUGAUGCCAGAGAUGUCCCACAGCAGCAAUCUUUUCUCUGUAAUAAAUUCUAAACUUCUCUUGACCUUAUUGCUGCAUUCUGGGCUGAAAUACAUCUGAACAACUGAUGGGAGGCUGAAUUUGAACUCAGCUUUUUAUUCCUGCCUUAGCCAUGCAGUGGAAGAACAUCUCAUACCACACCCUCCAUCUUGCUGUUGUGAAUUAAGUUGCUUUUUCAAGUGGUUCCUCACAUGCAGAUAUGUGCAAAAAUUGGAACUGAAUUAUUACUUUGUCCUCAGAGAAUUAAAACCUUUAAAAAUGCCUGCUUCUUGCCAAAUGAGACGUAAGAUCCUGAUUUACACCAUCAGUUUUCUAUACAUUGCAAGACAAAGGUGUUCAGGCUUUGGGACAUCUGUGCAGCUGGUGCUGGCUGUCAGCUGGAGGUACAACGACUGAUACUGAACUGAUAAGGCUGGCUCUAAGUGGUGGCUUUGAGGGGAUGGUCUAGGCUAUGUUAGCUGUGUCCUCCAGGGUAGCAUUCCUCUGAUCUAAAAUAUAUCCCCUGAAUGUGUUUUUGUGAGCUGAAUGAUGAUUUGCACAGAGUGAACAGAGAAUGUAGCUUUCAGGUUUCUCAUGUGGCCAGCUUCUACCCGUGUAUUUUGUUCCUUCUUCCUGUUAAAACAACUUAUACUUUCUGGAUUUUAGGCAAGUGGCUCUAAUGUGGGGUGUGCCAAAACAUACUGAAAAAUUGGUCAGUGAUUCUUGUUGUUGAUUUGGUGGGGGUGAACUUGAAAGGUUUAAUGGCUUUGUAGGAUCAGAUAAAUCUGCAAAGAAAUAUUAAAUACAUCUGGUGAUGAAUCUUUGUUCUUCUUCUAUUACUUGUUGUAAGUGAUUGUACUUGGCCCCUACCUUAGUGACCAAGGUCAUGACAUUGAGCAAAAGAGAAUGAAGUGGCUUUGAUUUGUUUCCAGAUGCAAAUAAAGUGUUUGCUUGUUUAUGGG